CCUCUCCCUUAACAAGCAAGCAUUAUGCUAGCAUUUCCUGCUGCUCUAUUACGUUGUCUGCCUACCUUUAAGUCAUCAGAAAUAAUCACCCCUAAAUCCCUUUCCUCAUAUGUUGAGAUUAGAACUCUAUCAAAUAUUCUGUACUCUGCCCUUGGAGUUUUACGUCCAAGAUGCAUUAUCUUGCACUUAUCCACAUUAAAUGUCAGUUGCCACAAUUCCGACCAUUUUUCUGGUUUACCUAAAUCCUUUGCCAUUUGGCUUAUCCCUCCUGGAACAUCAACCCUGUUACAUAUAUUAGUAUCAUCAGCAAAAAGACAUACCUUACCAUCAAGACCUUCUGUAAUAUCACUAAUAAAAAUAUCAAAGAGAAUGGGUCCAAGUACAGAGUCC